rnacentral:rRNA from 1 species
UACGUAGGGGGCAAGCGUUGUCCGGAUUUAUUGGGCGUAAAGAGCGUGUAGGCGGCCAGAUAGGUCCGUUGUGAAAACUCGAGGCUCAACCUCGAGACGCCGAUGGAAACCAUUUGGCUAGAGCCCGGAAGAGGAGAGUGGAAUUCCUGGUGUAGCGGUGAAAUGCGCAGAUAUCAGGAAGAACACCCGUGGCUAAGGCGGCUCUCUAGUACGGUACUGACGCUGAGACGCGAAAGCGUGGGGAGCGAACAGG